GUCUACUUGAAUUUGGGUUUUUAACUUCGAUUUGGGUGGCGGACGGGUGAGUAACGCGUAAAGAACUUGCCUCACAGCUAGGGACAACAUUUGGAAACGAAUGCUAAUACCUGAUAUUAUGAUUAUAGGGCAUCCUAGAAUUAUGAAAGCUAUAUGCGCUGUGAGAGAGCUUUGCGUCCCAUUAGCUAGUUGGAGAGGUAACGGCUCACCAAGGCGAUGAUGGGUAGCCGGCCUGAGAGGGUGAACGGCCACAAGGGGACUGAGACACGGCCCUUACUCCUACGGGAGGCAGCAGUGGGGAAUAUUGGACAAUGGACCGAGAGUCUGAUCCAGCAAUUCUGUGUGCACGAUGACGUUUUUCGGAAUGUAAAGUGCUUUCAGUUGGGAAGAAAAAAAUGACGGUACCAACAGAAGAAGUGACGGCUAAAUACGUGCCAGCAGCCGCGGUAAUACGUAUGUCACGAGCGUUAUCCGGAUUUAUUGGGCGUAAAGCGCGUCUAGGUGGUUAUGUAAGUCUGAUGUGAAAAUGCAGGGCUCAACUCUGUAUUGCGUUGGAAACUGUGUAACUAGAGUACUGGAGAGGUAAGCGGAACUACAAGUGUAGAGGUGAAAUUCGUAGAUAUUUGUAGGAAUGCCGAUGGGGAAGCCAGCUUACUGGACAGAUACUGACGCUGAAGCGCGAAAGCGUGGGUAGCAAACAGGAUUAGAUACCCUGGUAGUCCACGCCGUAAACGAUGAUUACUAGGUGUUGGGGGUCGAACCUCAGCG
rnacentral:rRNA from 1 species